GAUACGCAAUGAAUCAUUUAUCACGCCACCUGCUGUCCAAAGCAGGUGACGCGCGUGUCAAACUAUACGUACGUAUAACCUGCCAGCAAACGAAAACCUGUACAAUAUCACUUUACGUCAACAUAUCUCUUUCUAAGUUCGAACGAAUAUUUUACAUUCAAUUAUUGGAUCCAUUUUAAAUAAUGGUAUUUCAAGUACCUUUUUUCGUGAAUAAAAGAACAUUUGGUAUUAAAUAUUUCGACGAUAAAAGUAAUCAAAGGUGUGAUUAACGUGGGAAUGAAUUAAUACAUGCAAAAAAUUACGCGAUUCGAAAAUAAAUAGCACUGUAGUAAUAUUAAAACAGUUUAAGUAUUCCUGUGCUAAUGCAGUUGAAUGUUCAAACCCAGGCUGUUCCAGUUCCAAGUAUGUACUACGGUAGUGCUUCCACACAUGCAGCACCGGACGACAGGAACCCGUGUGAAGCUGGCUCACCAUAUUAUAACCGAUGCAUAUUAAUGAAAUAUAGCUUAAAAAAUUGCUCUUUAAUUAUAUAUAAUUGCUCACCAAUUAGUUUUAAUUGCACACUUAUCUUUUUCGAGAAAUAUCCAAAAAAAUUGUUUUGAGAUACCUAGGGAUUUUCACGAGAGGCUGAAGACUUUUAAUAAUACGAAAUUUCUAAAACAAUGAAUAAAACGUGUUGUGUGACUUACCUAAGAA